GGUAUUCAUACUUAAGUACACGCCGACCUCUCAGCCUUAUUAGCACUACCCGACCACCACUCCGUGAGAGUUUUAAGUGUCCUCGUUCACAUAUAACGUUACGUAAUGUAUACAGUAAACUCAAGGAAAGAACUUUCCACCAAAUCACUGCUUUACUACACACUGGUUUUACCUGAAAGGGUUGGGGGCCAGUGAUAAAAGCACAUCCUGACAGUAGCGGUUCCGCCUUCCUCCCCAUUUGACUUGCUAAGUGAGCUAGCAGCAGGUUGGGUGAGUUUACUGUCAGAGCAGGACUGAUCUACCACAAGUGGCCCGGAUUUACUGGCUACACAGAGGCUCUGGAGUGGCGCAUCAAGUGCCCUACGGACAAACAAGCAAGACCAGAGAGUGCAAGGCAAAGAAGAACCGACCUCUCCCUCUCCGGACGGCUUACAUACUACAGUAGAGUCCAGAUCGAAGAAGUGAGCAGCUGAACAGGCAGUAUGUCCACUGACCAGGAGCCCACCUUCACAGUCAAGCUGCUGCAGCUGUUGUUACUCUCCACUUACUGGGGAAUGCAGAUUUGGGUCACCUUCAUUUCAAGCUUUGUGAUGGACAACCACCUGAACAGACACACGUAUGGAUUCAUUCAGAGCCAUCUUGUUCCAUUCUACCUCCACCUGGGUUCAGCUUGUGCCUUCUUUAACCUCACUAUCUACGCAGUGUAUCAUCCCAGUGACCUACUGGAUGCCAGAGAAGCCUUUCAGGUGUGUUACUUGCAUUACAUCAUCACAUUA